rnacentral:rRNA from 1 species
UACAGAGGUCCCAAGCGUUGUUCGGAUCCAUUGGGCGUAAAGGGUGCGUAGGUGGCGCGCUAAGUCAGGUGUGAAAUUUCGGAGCUUAACUCCGAAACUGCAUUUGAUACUGGCGUGCUUGAGGACUGGAGAGGAGACUGGAAUUUACGGUGUAGCAGUGAAAUGCGUAGAGAUCGUAAGGAAGACCAGUGGCGAAGGCGGGUCUCUGGACAGUUCCUGACACUGAGGCACGAAGGCCAGGGGAGCAAACGGG